rnacentral:rRNA from 1 species
ACAUGCAAGUCGAGCGGAAGAUUUGGGAGCUUGCUCCCAAAUCUUAGCGGCGGACGGGUGAGUAACACGUGGGCAACCUGCCCUGCAGACUGGGAUAACUCCGGGAAACCGGAGCUAAUACCGGGUAAUACAUCGCACCGCAUGGUGUGAUGUUGAAAGUUGGCUUUCGAGCUAACACUGCAGGAUGGGCCCGCGGCGCAUUAGCUAGUUGGUAAGGUAAUGGCUUACCAAGGCGACGAUGCGUAGCCGACCUGAGAGGGUGAUCGGCCACACUGGGACUGAGACACGGCCCAGACUCCUACGGGAGGCAGCAGUAGGGAAUCUUCCGCAAUGGACGAAAGUCUGACGGAGCAACGCCGCGUGAGUGACGAAGGCCUUCGGGUCGUAAAGCUCUGUUGUUAGGGAAGAACAAGUACCGUUCGAAUAGGGCGGUACCUUGACGGUACCUAACCAGAAAGCCACGGCUAACUACGUGCCAGCAGCCGCGGUAAUACGUAGGUGGCAAGCGUUGUCCGGAAUUAUUGGGCGUAAAGCGCGCGCAGGCGG